AUUUAAAUAAUUUAAUUAAAAUAUUGAUUUGUGGAGUCAAAAAUAUGGUAAAAUGUCAUUUUAAAUU
rnacentral:tRNA from 1 species